rnacentral:rRNA from 1 species
UACGUAGGGCGCAAGCGUUGUCCGGAAUUAUUGGGCGUAAAGAGCUCGUAGGCGGUUUGUCGCGUCUGCUGUGAAAACCUAAGGCUCAACCUUGGGCUUGCAGUGGGUACGGGCAGACUAGAGUGCGGUAGGGGGUGACUGGAAUUCCUGGUGUAGCGGUGGAAUGCGCAGAUAUCAGGAGGAACACCGAUGGCGAAGGCAGCCCUUCUG